GUUGUAUGGUUAAGUGACUAAGCGUACACGGUGGAUGCCUUGGCAGUCAGAGGCGAUGAAAGACGUAGUAACUUGCGAUAAGCCCAGAUUAGGUAGUAACAACCAUUUGAGUCUGGGAUUUCUGAAUGGGGAAACCCACGUGCAUAAGCACGUAUCCUUACCUGAAUACAUAGGGUAAGGAGGCGAACCGGGGGAACUGAAACAUCUAAGUACCCCGAGGAAAAGAAAUCAACCGAGAUUCCGAAAGUAGCGGCGAGCGAAAUUGGACUAGCCCUUAAGCUUUACACGCGUUAGACGAACGGUCUGGAAAGUCCGACGAUACAGGGUGAUAGUCCCGUAGUUGACGACGUGUGUUCAGUGAAAUCGAGUAGGGCGGGACACGUGAUAUCCUGUCUGAAUAUGGGGGGACCAUCCUCCAAGGCUAAAUACUACUGACUGACCGAUAGUGAACCAGUACCGUGAGGGAAAGGCGAAAAGAACCCCUGUGAGGGGAGUGAAAUAGAACCUGAAACCGUGUACGUACAAGCAGUAGGAGCAGGCUUUGUCCUGUGACUGCGUACCUUUUGUAUAAUGGGUCAGCGACUUAUAUUCAGUGGCAAGGUUAACCAUCUAGGGGAGCCGUAGGGAAACCGAGUCUUAACUGGGCGUUCAGUCUCUGGAUAUAGACCCGAAACCAGGUGAUCUAGCCAUGGGCAGGUUGAAGGUUGAGUAACAUCAACUGGAGGACCGAACCGACUAAUGUUGAAAAAUUAGCGGAUGACUUGUGGCUAGGGGUGAAAGGCCAAUCAAACCUGGAGAUAGCUGGUUCUCCCCGAAAGCUAUUUAGGUAGCGCCUCGGACGAAUACUACUGGGGGUAGAGCACUGUUAAGGCUAGGGGUCAUCCCGACUUACCAACCCUUUGCAAACUCCGAAUACCAGUAAGUACUAUCCGGGAGACACACGGCGGGUGCUAACGUCCGUCGUGGAGAGGGAAACAACCCAGACCGCCAGCUAAGGUCCCAAAUUACUACUAAGUGGGAAACGAUGUGGGAAGGCUCAGACAGCCAGGAUGUUGGCUUAGAAGCAGCCAUCAUUUAAAGAAAGCGUAAUAGCUCACUGGUCGAGUCGGCCUGCGCGGAAGAUGUAACGGGGCUAAGUAGUAAACCGAAGCUGCGGCAAUGUGCUUUUGCACAUUGGGUAGGGGAGCGUUCUGUAAGCGGUUGAAGGUGUGUGGUAACGCAUGCUGGACGUAUCAGAAGUGCGAAUGCUGACAUGAGUAACGAUAAAGGGGGUGAAAAACCUCCUCGCCGGAAGACCAAGGGUUCCUGUCCAACGUUAAUCGGGGCAGGGUAAGUCGACCCCUAAGGCGAGGCCGAAAGGCGUAGUCGAUGGGAAACGGGUUAAUAUUCCCGUACUUCUUACAAUUGCGAUGGGGGACGGAGAAGGCUAGGUGGGCCUGGCGACGGUUGUCCAGGUUCAAGUGCGUAGGCUUAAGAGUUAGGUAAAUCCGGCUCUUUUUAAGGCUGAGACACGACGUCGAGCAUCUACGGAUGUGAAGUCAUUGAUGCCAUGCUUCCAGGAAAAGCCUCUAAGCUUCAGAUUGUAAGGAAUCGUACCCCAAACCGACACAGGUGGUCGGGUAGAGAAUACCAAGGCGCUUGAGAGAACUCGGGUGAAGGAACUAGGCAAAAUGGUACCGUAACUUCGGGAGAAGGUACGCUCUCGACGGUGAAGUCCCUCGCGGAUGGAGCUAUUGAGAGUCGCAGAUACCAGGUGGCUGCAACUGUUUAUUAAAAACACAGCACUGUGCAAAAUCGUAAGAUGACGUAUACGGUGUGACGCCUGCCCGGUGCCGGAAGGUUAAUUGAUGGGGUUAGACUUCGGUCGAAGCUCUUGAUCGAAGCCCCGGUAAACGGCGGCCGUAACUAUAACGGUCCUAAGGUAGCGAAAUUCCUUGUCGGGUAAGUUCCGACCUGCACGAAUGGCGUAAUGAUGGCCACGCUGUCUCCACCCGAGACUCAGUGAAAUUGAAAUCGCUGUGAAGAUGCAGUGUACCCGCGGCUAGACGGAAAGACCCCGUGAACCUUUACUACAGCUUGGCACUGAACAUUGACCCUACAUGUGUAGGAUAGGUGGGAGGCUUUGAAGCACGUACGCCAGUAUGUGUGGAGCCGUCCUUGAAAUACCACCCUUGUAGUGUUGAUGUUCUAACGUCGACCCCUUAUCGGGGUUGCGGACAGUGCCUGGUGGGUAGUUUGACUGGGGCGGUCUCCUCCCAAAGAGUAACGGAGGAGCACGAAGGUGGGCUAAUCACGGUUGGACAUCGUGAGGUUAGUGCAAUGGCAUAAGCCCGCUUGACUGCGAGAAUGACAAUUCGAGCAGGUGCGAAAGCAGGUCAUAGUGAUCCGGUGGUUCUGAAUGGAAGGGCCAUCGCUCAACGGAUAAAAGGUACUCCGGGGAUAACAGGCUGAUACCGCCCAAGAGUUCAUAUCGACGGCGGUGUUUGGCACCUCGAUGUCGGCUCAUCACAUCCUGGGGCUGAAGUCGGUCCCAAGGGUAUGGCUGUUCGCCAUUUAAAGUGGUACGCGAGCUGGGUUUAGAACGUCGUGAGACAGUUCGGUCCCUAUCUGCCGUGGGCGUUGGAAGAUUGAAGGGGGCUGCUCCUAGUACGAGAGGACCGGAGUGGACGAACCUCUGGUGUUCGGGUUGUGUCGCCAGACGCAUUGCCCGGUAGCUAAGUUCGGAAUCGAUAACCGCUGAAAGCAUCUAAGCGGGAAGCGAGCCCUGAGAUGAGUCUUCCCUGAUACUUUAAGUAUCCUAAAGGGUUGUCGGAGACUACGACGUUGAUAGGUCAGGUGUGUAAGUGCUGUGAGGCAUUGAGCUAACUGAUACUAAUUGCCCGUGAGGCUUAACCAUACAACACCUAAGGGGUUU
rnacentral:rRNA from 1 species